GGAUAAGUUGCAAAGCCGGUGAAGCUUCUGUAUUCCCGGAUUGCAGCCUCCCCUUCGGCUCGAGUUGUACGCUCAGGUAAGCCAGGUCUAGAACAAACACCCAGGUUUUGAACCUAGAAUAACUUAACCUUAUGCCGGAUUCACCGCCUCCCCCUCGGCUCGAGUUGUCUGCUCGGGCAAGCCAGGUCUAGAACAAACACCAGGUUUUAAACCUAGAAUAACUCGGUCACAUACCAGAUCCCUAGUAGGAAUGCUUAUCUGCAUCAUGUGCAUAUUGACUUAGGGGACUCAACACAGGGGUUAGGUCCGUCAAGGGCUAGCAACCUGAAAUGAAAAGACCAUCCUGAUGCAUCCUACUUGUUUUCUGUCCAUUUAUUUGUUCGGGCUUGCAUGUUGACCGGCUUUUGA
rnacentral:lncRNA from 1 species